rnacentral:rRNA from 1 species
GACGAACGCUGGCGGCGUGCUUAACACAUGCAAGUCGAACGGAAAGGCCCUGCUUUUGUGGGGUGCUCGAGUGGCGAACGGGUGAGUAACACGUGAGUAACCUGCACCUCACUUUGGGAUAACUUCAUGAAACUGGGGCUAAUACCGCAUAGGAGCUCCUGCUGCAUGGUGGGGCCUCGUAAGUUUAGGCGGUUGGGGAUGGACUAGCGGCCUAUCAGGAUGUUGGGGUGGUAGUGGCUUACCAAGGGCUUGACCGGUAGCAGGCCUGCUCGGGGGGCCGGCCACGUUGGGACUGAGAUACGGCCCGGACCCCAAUGCGAGGCAGCAGUGGGGUAGGUUACACAAGGGGCGGAGGCAUGAUGCAGCACCGCCGCGUGCGGGGAGACGGCCUGCGGGUUGGAAAGCGCUUUCGCCUGUGACGAAGCGUGAGUGACGGUAAUGGGUAAAGAAGCACCGGCUAACUACGUG